CCAACUUGCCAGUCCCUGAGAUGUGAAUCAAACCUCCUACCCCGGGCCCUGUAGAGGAAACGCCUUCCCUGGGUAACAGAGUUCCCCCUGAGGAAUCUUGGUGGGAAGAAAAGAAAAGGCCGGGGCUUCCAGGGGAGGCUUCUAUUGUUCUGCUAGUGUGCCUUGAGCAGGGUCUAGUGACACUCCUUAGUCCUUUCUGUCAAGAUUUGGAUAAUUGUGGGGUAAAACUAGGCACCGAUACAGAUGUAAAAAUGAACACCUGGUAAAGAAUUUAUUUAGGUCAGAUAUAAGUGCCAGGUACUAGGAAAAGUAAAAGAAACACCAAUAUAUGGAGUAUAGGAAUGUUUAUUAUUAUUAUUAAAACUUCUUUUACAUUCGGGAGAGAGAAGUCAAUGAAACAUUUACCAUAUAAAACAGAAUUUGCCUAUCAGUAGCCAAUAAUUAUUUUGCAUUACUAUCAGUCCUACACAGAUUUAUAAAAUAGCUCCCACAUAAUCAGAUAGCCCAGAGAGGAGUCUGCCAGAGUCUAGACAAUGCACAGAUUUCCACUGAAGCACAAAUUUGUCCUGAUUACUUAACUCCAGGAGUCAGUGUGGAUGGAGCCUGUUGGAGUUAACUCAGGGCCCCCAUGGCCUUUUGGAAUCCAAGUCCCUGAUCUCUCCUCCUGUCUUUUCCUUUGUUGUCUUAGAGCAUUGGCAUCCAGCACAGUUCCCACGCACAGCACCCUCACAAACAGACUUUCUUAAAUUCCCAACAUUUAUAAUAUUUUUACUUCUCUUAGUUCCCACUACCCUGGGGCACUAUUACCGUGUAAAAGGGUCAGAAGGCUCACUGAAUGAUGAAGUGCAUUUGUAGAGAGCCAAGUUGGUGGUAGAAAAACAACAUUAUUAUGAUGAUGUGGCUGAUCAAAACAAACAACAAACAAAAAAUGACUGGACUGUUGGCCAACUUGGUUAACAACAAGUAAAGAUUUUGUAUGGGAAGUUUUAAGGAAGUGUGCUUUGGGCCGCAGAUGAGUGGGAGCUAGGAUAGUUAUUAGUUCUGCAGUGGUCUGCUUCUCUAAUGCACAUUCUGAUGUUGUCUGAAGAUCACCAGACAUCUGGAUUCUGUAAACCUAAAGAAAGGUUGUUGAUUAGGAGGUCUUAUGACUGCUAUUUCUCUUGUUACUUUUUCUCAGAAUAACUGGCUCCAGAAGUUAAUAUCUUAAUCAUUCAGGUGUGGCUUUUCUUUAGAACUUACUUAGAAUGAUGGACAGAUGUAAAGUCAACAAAAAGCAAGUUUGCCCAUGACAAUUUGCAAAGCACAAGUUGGCCCAUUAGUUGGUUUCAAUACCAGGAGAGGGAAAGCCAGAGAGAAGGCAGAGCAUGUGUCAUCCUUUUGCUAUUGAUAACCCCUUCUUUGGGUGCUGUAUGCGGAGGCUGGAGAGAGGAAGAAGAAGAAAGUGGAAGGAAAGAAAAAUUGUUUCCCGGGCUGGGGAUGUGGCUCAAGCA
rnacentral:lncRNA from 1 species